rnacentral:rRNA from 1 species
GAUGAACGCUAGCGGCAGGCUUAAUACAUGCAAGUCGUGGGGCAGCAGGUCUGUAGCAAUACAGAUGCUGGCGACCGGCAAACGGGUGCGGAACACGUACACAACUUUCCUUUAAGUGGGGAAUAGCCCAGAGAAAUUUGGAUUAAUACCCCGUAACAUAGUGAAAAGGCAUCUUUUUAUUAUUAUAGCAGCAAUGCGCUUAAUGAUGGGUGUGCGUCUGAUUAGGUAGUUGGCGGAGUAAUAGCCCACCAAGCCUACGAUCAGUAACUGGUGUGAGAGCACGACCAGUCACACGGGCACUGAGACACGGGCCCGACUCCUACGGGAGGCAGCAGUAAGGAAUAUUGGGCAAUGGACGCAAGUCUGACCCAGCCAUGCCGCGUGGAGGAUGAAGGUCCUCUGGAUUGUAAACUUCUUUUAUCUGGGAAGAAAUCCAUCUUUUCUUGGGUGGUUGACGGUACCAGAUGAAUAAGCACCGGCUAACUCCGUGCCAGCCGCCGCUGUAA